GAAGCUAGAGUCCAACAGGAACCAUCGAAAGAAACUGCCAUUGUCGAGGACAAUGUAGCACCUGAAAAAGGGAAUGGUGAACAGGGAAAAUCUGGUGACAGUAUAGAGCAACCAUCCAAAGAUGCUACUGAACCAGGAUCUGUGGAUAAGGGGGGUGUGGAUGGAGGUCAGAGUAAGGGUGGCUGCACUAUCAAAGAAGUGGUUGCUGUUAAGGCGAACGCUGGAACGGCGAAGGAUGUUGCCAAAAGUCCACCUCGUAGGUCAACAAGGGUGGGAGGUGCAGCCCGUGGAAAAACUUCAAAAGGCCUUGAUGAAAAGCUGGAGGUGCUUAAAAAAACAUAUGUUAGGAAAAGUAGGAAGAAGUAGUUCAAUAUGGUUGUAAAAUAAUUAAUAUUUUGUGAUAAACAGGUUGAUGAAACUGAGGUAGUAGAUGGCAAGGCAGCACGUUUGCCUCUGGGAAGAAUUGA